rnacentral:tRNA from 1 species
GCCUGGCUGGCUCAGUUGGUAGAGCACAUGACUCUUAAUCUCAGGAUUGUGAGUUCAAGCCCCAGGUUGGGCG